GAACGAGGAUAUACCCUUCGGGGUAUAAACCGAGUGGCGCAAGGGUGAGUAAUGCAUAGAUUACCUGCCUCCGGGAUAAGGACAACUUUGUGAAAACGAAGCUAAUACUUAAUAAUACAAAAGAAAAUUAUUUUCUUUUGUCAAAGGGAGGGUAGCAAUACCUUUUGCCUGGAGAGGGGUUUAUGUCCUAUCAGCUUGUUGGUGGGGUAAUGGCCUACCAAGGCGAAGACGGGUAGCCGGUCUUAGAGGAUGGUCGGCCACACUGGGACUGAGACACUGCCCAGACUUCUACGGAAGGCUGCAGUCGAGAAUCUUUCGCAAUGCCCGAAAGGGUGACGAAGCGACGCCGCGUGGGUGAGGAAGGCCUUCGGGUUGUAAAGCCCUGUCAGGAGUUAAGAAAUAUAGGUGCGUUAAUACCGCAUUUAUUUGACGAAGGCUCCAAAGGAAGCCACGGCUAACUCUGUGCCAGCAGCCGCGGUAAUACAGAGGUGGCAAGCGUUGUUCGGAAUUAUUGGGCGUAAAGAGCACGUAGGUGGGUUUGUAAGUCAGGUGUGAAAGCCUUCUGUUCAACGGAAGAAUUGCAUCUGAAACUGCGAGUCUUGAGUGUAGGAGGGGAGAAUGGAACUUCUGGUGGAGCGGUGAAAUGCGUAGAUAUCAGAAGGAACGCCGGCGGCGAAAGCGAUUCUCUGGCCUAUUACUGACACUCAGUGUGCGAAAGCUAGGGGAGCAAACGGGAUUAGAUACCCCGGUAGUCCUAGCCGUAAACGAU
rnacentral:rRNA from 1 species